CUCUUUUAGCUGCUAGGUCUAUUUCUUAGUUCAAGAUCCCUCUUACUAACUGGAAUAAAAGAAUUAGUAGAUCUGAAAAGGGAAUCGAUCGUGAUUUGGAACCUGUUCUUUACAUGAACCCUCUUAACUAAGAUUUUCUUAUUUAUACCUGUUCUACUUUUUUUCUGUUCUGGCUCGGUUAUUCCAUCUAGCCGAGCCAUUCAUUCCUUUUUAUGAAAGAAAGAUAAGGGACAGAAAAAAAUGUAUUUUCCCAUCAACUAGCUAAAAUUGAUUAACCCUAGGAUUAGGAUCCUUUUUUCUUUUUUCCUCUAUGUGUAUUUUACUUUAGCGCAAGGGCGCUCGAUUAGUGAGCUAUUACGCACUCUUUAAAGGGUGGCUGCUUCUAGGCAAACCUCCUGGCUUUCUUUGCACCCCCACGGCCUUUAUCACUGAGCGGUCAUUUAGGGGCCUUAGCUGGUGAUCCGGGAUCGAUAAACCUUUUGGAUUUUAUUAACCAAAGAGAUACGACUUUGGGCUAUGGUUAGCUCAGCUCCAAUCAAGAAUAUUCUUACUAUUAUUGUAUUAUCUUAUUUAUAGUGAAACAAGUUGAGAAGAGGUUGUUAAUAAGAGAUUGCCCAGGGAAAUAGGUAAAAGAAAUUUCCAUCUUUGAUUCUCUAUAAACCAAGAAUAAAGGGAAAUCACUGAUUCAUUUGGAGCUGUUUUCUACCUGACUCAUUGACAUGAGAGAUUAGAUGCGAUGCGCCAGUCACUCGACCGUCAAUCCUUUCUUGUGACGAGCCAUGACUGGGUGCUCUGAAACCUCCUUAAAAGGAGGGGCGGUGGGGUAAGGUAAUUGUUGGGCAGUACACAGGAGGAAAUUGACAGGUCUAUAAAUUCUAUUAAAGGAAUGAGAAAGCUAAUGAAUCUUAAACCCAUUGAUAAAAAGAAAAAAAAGGGUACCAACGAUCUGGAAUCCCGUGCUGAAACCUACAGAUAUGCACCUAUGCGGACCAUCCUGGCAAUCCUCCUGUCUAUUCUUUCUAAUAACCAACGAAUGGCAAGUGCUCUUCCUUGUUUAGAUCCUAUUUCAAUCGGAACUUUCCGCGUCGAUCCUUUUUAUUUUAUCUUGUUUCUUACCUAAAUUUAUUAGUUUCUUCUUUAUUUGUAACAGUUCUCUACUUGGGCGGGUGGAAUUUAUCUAUUCCCUAUAUAUCCUUUUUUGUCUGAAAUCUUUAAGCAACUAAAAAAGACGUAUACUAAAAGAUAUGUGUUGAAAAGGGAUGGUCAAUAACAAGAUGAACCCAAUGCCCAAUCUUCCUCGGGUUCCACGGGGUAAAUCCAUUAAAAAGGACAAAUUUUAGCAGAAGGAGCUGCUACAGUUGGGGGCGAACUUGCUUUAGGAAAAAACGCCCUAAAUAAACGCGGACACUUAAAAAAUCUGUCGGGCAGGCAGAUUCACAUCUCUUACAACCCACACAAUCUUCGGUUCUCGGCGCGGAAGCAAUUUGCUUGGCUUUACAUCCAUCCCAGGGUAUCAUUCCCUUUUAUGAUUGGAGAACCUGGCUUUGAUGACAUUCCUGAGGGAUCCGCAAAACCCCUCGCCAUUACCGUAUGAGCAGGUUUGAAAGCCUGCAAGUUAAGUUGUUGGCUGCUCUUAGCGAUUGACGGACGAAGCCGAGCCGAUAUGAUAGGCGGGCGAAGUGAGCGAGACCAAGACGGGCCAGACGUGGCUAAUUUUUUAAUUAAAUAAAAAAUCCCUUUUAACUUAGUGGUAGAGUAAUGCCAUGGUAAGGCAUAAGUCAUCGGUUCAAAUCUGAUAAAGGGCUUUCUAAUUGAUUGGAUAUCCCGCAUAAGGAAUCGAAGGAAGAUGCGACGUUUUAUUCCAGGGAAUCCCCAACAAAAAAUGCACAUUUGUAUCUGGAUUUUUUGAUUUCCUAAAAGAGUUUUGGUCUAACAGUUUUUUCUCGGAAGAAGAAAAAUAAACAAAAGAAUGAAUAAAAUAUGAAAGAAAAGCGUCCAUUGUCUAAUGAGUUCAUAACCCUAGCGCCCAUUCCCAUUUUGGGCGGAACAGAUCUACUAAUUCUUUUAUUCCAGUUAGAGCCGAAAUAGGAGUGGGUCCUUCCAUAGCAUCGGGUAACCAUACAUGAAGAGGGAAUUGUGCGGAUUUCGCAACUGCACCAAGGAAUAAUAAAAAAGCACACAAAGUAGUAAGUAAAAACCUUCAUGAAAUGAAGGUUUUAUUUUAUGUAAUCAUUUAGGUGUUAGUGUAAACGAACCAUAAUUACUAGCCAAUAUUUAUCUCAUGCCUUUCCUCGUUCAUGGUUCGAUAUUCUGGUGUCCUAGGCAUAGAGGAACCACACCAAUCCAUCCUGAACUUACAGCAGCUUGCCAAACAAAGGCUAAUAGAAAAAAGAAUAGAGGUAUAACAUGCUUUAUUCUUAAGUGGGGGAAUCCCCUGAAAGCCGGUGUUCGAGUGAGUUUUUUCCAGGAAGCUAGUUCUUUAGGGCUUAACCCCUUUUGUUAUUCUACCUGCACUCUUCCGUAAACUAAAACGUGCAUUAUCAAUAGGAUCAAUUCUAACAAGUCACACACUCAUAUUCCAGAGAUACCGAAACAAAAAAAUUCCGCGGUCGAACUACCAUAAUAUCUAGAAAUGUAGAUCUUAAACUAGAAAGGCUUUUUUGGAUGGAAAAACUCUGACUUCCUAGUUUUAGUUAGUAGAAACCUAAUUGGUUAAAAUUCCAUCCAGUAAAACGGAAGAAUUAUAAAUUUCUAAAAUACAUAGCUUUCUUUAGUCUUUCCGGUAUAGCGUCGCGUCGGUCGAUAUCGCAGAGUCUAAUUUCCUAACUCGGAUUUGAACUCAGUGGGUAAUUUCUAACAAAGUUUUUCUCUUGUUGAUUCCUAAUUCUAGGUGUAGUGCUUUUCUCCCCUAUGCUGCCUACGGAUACUAAAGAUCACCGCUUUUCAUACGCUAAUUCGUGAUUCAAAGUAGAGCGAGUGAGGGAGCUAUACCCGGGACUCAAUCAACAUAUGCCAGAAAUAGGAAAUUGGAAUGAAAUCCAGUCUUAGUCAAAUACUUCAUAUCUCUUUGUGUCCAAGCAGAAGGAAAAGGAUACAAUUUGAGCCCAAUCCCUUUGGUCAUUUCGCUUUUCGUGCCGGCCUGUAUUCAGAGUUUCUUGGAUUUGCGGUGCCUGAAUGCCUUUCUCCUUCUUUUUGGUGACGCUUCGCUUGCAUGCAAGGCGGCUAAUAAAAGCGCCAGGUAGACGCGCGGAGAUGCAUUUUGAGUACUGGUGGUACUGGACAAGCUCUAGGGGAAUAAUCUCUUUCUUAUUUCUUUCUUAUUCCUUUCAUUUGUUGCUUUGUCUUCGGUUUGUUUUUAAACUCGACCUUCUAUCGGGACUGUGGUGACGAACCUUACUCCCCUCGGUCAAGUGGUUGACCCGUCUGUCCAAUAAGUUUACUAAGUGAAUGGGAAUCCUAUAGUUUGACCAGCCUGGAUCUCUAUUCUCCAUAAGGAUAGGGUUUAUUUGAUUGGCAUUCACGCCUUUUAGAAAGAGCCACUCAAUGCAAUUCACUUUUAGGCGAAGAGAGUAGCAGGGACUAUGGUAUCGAAUUUUUUCAUUCGAGUAUCUAUUAGAAAUGAAUUCUCCAGCAUUUGAUUCCUUACUAACAAAGAACUUUUUGGUACACUUGAAAGGUACCCCAUAGCAUGACUAAUUGAUAAAAUGUGGAGGAAAGUAGGGGAAAUGGCCGAUACUACUGGAAGAAUUCCUCUUUGGCUGAUAGGAGCGUAAAUAAUUGUAACCAUAUACAUAUAAAAUGACAGCAAUGGAAUCCCAAUCCCCUGCUUUUAUUUGUAAAGUCUCUAUUCCUCGGUGAUCAAAGCCCAAUGUCUCGGGGACUCAUUCUGACUUAAACAAGGGGUGGGUCUUUACCAACUUCCUAAAUCUAUAAAAAUAUAAAACUUCUCGGCUUUUACCCAUUUUAAUUUUUUUUGGAAUAAACUGUUGUCAACUAAUCUUUUCAAUGUUCAAUUCUACUCUAUGUUAGAACACGAGAAAGUGGAAAUCCUUUUGAAGGAAGCUAUUCAGGAACAGCUGGAACGGUUUUCUCUUCAGUAACAAAUAAAUUUUGCAUGCAGGCGAGUUGCAGCCUGCAAUCCGAACUGAGGACGGGUUUUUGGAGUUAGCUCACCCUCGCGAGAUCGCGACCCUUUGUCCCGCCCAUUGUAGCCUCUAUUGAGAAUCUAGUUUCUUGAUCGAAGUAAAGAAGAAUUUUAGUUCCUCUUUAGGCGAGCUACUUCGUUCCUAUUCUCCGAAUCUGAAUAGGAGAAGGUUGUAAUGAACCCAAAAUACAUCGCUAAGGUUCAACCGUUUCGCUACGGUUUUCUUCCAAUUUCAUCCAAGAUUUAAUAACUGAUCCAUUCUCAUCCUCGGUAAAGUCCAUAUUAUUGUGAUAGAAAUGAAGAGAAAUAAAUAAGCUUUAGUUAAUGUAAUAAAUAUACCCAUUGCUCUUUGAUGAAAAGAUGAAAAAACCAAAAAAAAGCUCUGCCCUUCCAUCUCUUCGAUAGAUAGAGAGGGAGGGCAGAGGCCUUGAACAAAAAGAUCACAGUAAACUUUUGGUAAAAGUUCUAUCUUGGUCGGAGUGGGGAUAUCAUUUCUCUUCUGCAUGUCUAUGGAGUUUUGCAAAACCCAAACACCUCCCAUGCAAAACCGUGCAUGAGACUUUCAUCUCGCACGACUCCUAAGUGAUAAAAGAAAGAAGAACUCGUCUUCUCUCUUUUUUGAUUACCUUCCUCGAUCAUGAUUUGGAACCUGUUCUUUACAUGAACCCUCUUAACUAAGAUUUUCUUAUUUAUACCUGUUCUACUUUUUUUCUGUUCUGGCUCGGUUAUUCCAUCUAGCCGAGCCAUUCAUUCCUUUUUAUGAAAGAAAGAUAAGGGACUUCUUUAAAAAGAAAAAGAAGUGCCUCUAUAUUUAUAUUAUAGAUUUAUCCACUUAGAUGAAUAAAUAUUAUUAAUGAAUAUGUAUCACAAUCCAUCUCGAGGUAUUUGG
rnacentral:lncRNA from 1 species